rnacentral:rRNA from 1 species
UACGAACGGUCCAACCGUUAUUCGGAAUCACUGGGCUUAAAGCGUCCGUAGGCGGCUCGGAAAGUAGGGUGUGAAAUCCCACGGCUCAACCGUGGAAUUGCGCUCUAAACUAUCGAGCUAGAGGGAGAUAGAGGUGAGCGGAACUGAUGGUGGAGCGGUGAAAUGCGUUGAUAUCAUCAGGAACACCGGAGGCGAAGGCGGUUCACUGGGUCUUUUCUGACGCUGAGGGACGAAAGCUAGGGGAGCGAACGGG